GACGAACGCUGGCGGCGUGCUUAACACAUGCAAGUCGAACGGAAAGGCCCUGCUUUUGUGGGGUGCUCGAUUGGCGAACGGGUGAGUAACACGUGAGUAACCUGCCCUUGACUUUGGGGUAACUUCAGGAAACUGGGGCUAAUACCGGAUAGGAGCUCCUGCUGCAUGGGGGGGGUUGGAAAGUUUCGGCGGUUGGGGAUGGACUCGCGGCUUAUCAGCUUGUUGGUGGGGUAGUGGCUUACCGAGGCUUUGACGGGUAGCCGGCCUGAUAGGGUGACCGGCCACAUUGGGACUGAGAUACGGACCAGACUCCUAUGGGAGGCAGUAGUGGGGAAUCUUGCACAACGGGCCGAAGCCUGAUGCAGCGACGCCGCGUGCGGGAUGCCGGCCUUCGAGUUGUAAACCGCUUUCGCAUGUGACGUAGCGUGAGUGACGGUAAUGGGUCAAGAAGCCCCGGCUAACUACGUG
rnacentral:rRNA from 1 species